UGCUGCCAACUAAAACUAAAAAUGAGCUUUUUGGUGAGCAUUGAAGUUUCUACAUCUAUAUACUACUCCAUUAUAUGUAAGCUAAUCUUGUGCCCACUUCUUGGCUCUUGUGUAAUUGUAGUUGAAUUCACACCUACAGGCCACAGGCUACAAGAUAUUCCUCACAUUGCACACUUCUUUGAACAUUACAUGCCUUGACAUUUGACACCCUCUCUCAGUCCCAUGUCUUCAAUUCAAUUCUCUCAUUUAAUCUCUUCCUUAUCAACCUCCCCAAAUUACUCCAUGUUAAAGACUACCCAUUACAAUUUCCCUCUUAAAACCUCAAACUUUGAGGCAAAAUCCAUUAUAAUACCGAAAUUAAAAGAAAUUUGCAAAAAGGGUAAUUUGAAAUCGGCUUUUCAGUCACUUUCCAACUAUUUAUCUCACCAAAAUGUUGCCCUUUUAUCUCCUGAUGAAGCAUAUUCAUCAGUUCUUGAACUUUGUGCUGAUAAAAAGGCUGUAAGAGAAGGUCAACAGAUACAUGCCCAUAUCAUAACGUCAAUUGGACAUAAAGAUUCAGUCUUUUUGAAAACUAAGUUGGUUUUUUUGUACGGGAAAUGUGGGUUCGUUUUGGAUGCUAAGAAACUGUUUGAUGAAAUGCCUCAAAGAACUAUUUUUUCAUGGAAUGCAAUGCUUGGUGCUUAUGUAUCCAAUGGGAUGCCUUGGGAAGCUCUUGAAUUGUAUUUUGAAAUGAGGGUUCUUGGAGUAAAGGUUGAUGCUUUCACUUUUCCUUGUGUUCUUAAGGCUUGUGGUUUGAUUAAAGAAUUAAAAUUGGGGAACGAAAUCCAUGGUUAUGCACUUAAAUGUGGAUGCGAUUCCAAUGGAUUUGUUGUGAAUGCUCUUGUGAGUAUGUAUGCUAAAUGUGAGGAUACACUUGGUGCUAGGCAGUUGUUUGAUAUAAUUCAAGAAAAAGAUGAUGUUGUGUUGUGGAAUUCAAUCAUUUCAGCAUAUUCUAUGACUGGAAAUCCUAUCCAAGCAUUAACACUGUUUAGAGAAAUGGAGAAGAAUGGUGUAAGAAUGAAUAGUUAUACUUAUGUUUGUGUAUUACAAGCAUGUGAUGAGGCAUUGAAGAGAUUAGGGAAGGAAAUUCAUGCUGCAAUUUUAAAGUCAGAUAAUCAUAUGCAUCUUUAUGUGGCAAAUGCUUUGCUUGUCAUGUAUGCCAGAUGUGGUAGAAUGAGAGAAGCAGGCUUAAUAUUCCAUAGCAUGACUGAAAAAGAUAACAUAUCAUGGAAUUCUAUGCUUUCUGGUUUUGUACAAAAUGGUCUUUACAGUGAGGCUUUUCAGUUCUUUCAUAAAUCCCUAGCAGCAGGACAGAGACCAGACCAGGUCUCUUUAAUAAGUGUUUUGGGGGCUUCUGGAAGGUUAAAGAACUUACUGAAUGGAAUGGAAGCUCAUGCUUAUGCUAUGAAAAAUGGUUUUGAUACAGACAUUCAAGUUGCAAAUUCUCUUAUUGAUAUGUAUACCAAAUGUAGUCACAUUAAAUACAUGGAAUGUGUUUUUAGAAGAAUGUUCACUAGAGAUGUUGUUUCUUGGACUACAGUUAUAGCUGGAUAUGCUCAAAAUAGUUGUCAUACUAAAGCCUUGAAAGUUUUCCAAGAAGUACAGAUGGAGGGAGUGGAAAUUGAUGCUAUGAUGAUUGGAAGUGUCUUGCUUGCUUGUACUUCAUUAAAACAACUUAACCAUGUUAAAGAGACUCAUGCUUACAUUUUGAGAAAUGGGCUUUCUGAUUUAGUGUUGAGUAACACUCUGGUUGAUACUUAUGGAGAAUGUCACAGUAUAGAUUUAGCCUCUCGAAUGUUUGAGUCGAUUGAAAAUAAAGACAUAGUAUCUUGGACUAGUAUGAUUAGUGCUUAUGUUGAUAAUGGACAUGGAAAUGAAGCUCUUACUCUUUUCCGUUCGUUGAAAGAAGAUGGACUUGAACCCGAUUCUGUGGCAUUAAUCAGCAUACUCUCAGCUGCAUCGAGUCUCUCUGCGUUAAAGAAAGGGAAAGAAGUCCAUGGCUUCUUAAUCAAGCAAGGUUUUCUUAUAGAGGGAUCUGUUGCAAGCUCUCUUCUUGAUAUGUAUGCGCGUUGUGGGAAACUAGAGAACUCAUUUAAGGUGUUUAAUCUUGUCAAGAAUAAGGAUAUUGUUCUAUGGACUUGUAUGAUUCAUGCGAGUGGAAUGCACGGUCGUGGCAGGCAGGCAAUGGAAUUGUUUCACAAAAUGGAGAUGGAAAAUAUACAGCCAGAUCAUGUUACAUUCUUGGCACUUCUUUAUGCUUGUAGUCACUCAGGGAUGAUUGAUGAAGGCAAAAAGUUUCUUGAAAUUAUGAAACAUGACUAUAACUUAGAGCCAUGGCCUGAACAUUAUGCAUGUGUAGUUGAUCUCCUAGGACGAGCAAAUCGUCUGAACGAGGCUUUUAAGUUUGUGCAAAGCAUGCCUGUUGAACCUAAUGCUGUUGUCUGGUGUGCCCUUCUUGGGGCUUGCCAUGUUCAUUCCAAUAAGGAAUUGGGAGAUGUUGCUGCAGGGAAAUUGUUGAAUUUAGAACCUGGAAAUGCUGGAAACUAUGUGCUAGUUUCUAAUGUAUUUGCUGCUACCGGAAGGUGGGACGAUGUUGAGUUAGUACGAGGAAGAAUGAAGGAAAGAGGACUAAAGAAACAUCCAGCUUGUAGUUGGAUAGAGAUCAGAGAUACCGUCCAUGUUUUCAUGGCGAGGGACAAAACCCAUCCGCAGUGUGCCCAAAUAUAUGAAAAGUUAGCUGAAAUUAUCGAGGUGUUAAAAAAGGAAGGAGGUUACACUGCUCAAACUAAGUAUGUUUUGCAUAAUGUCAAGGAGGAAGAGAAAAUUAUGAUGCUCUAUGGUCACAGUGAGAGGUUGGCGAUUGCGUAUGCGCUCCUUGAUUCUCCCAGGGGAGUUCCUAUUCGAGUGACUAAGAACCUUCGUGUAUGCGGGGAUUGUCAUGCUUUCAUCAAGUUAGUAUCUAAAUUCUAUGACAGGGAAAUCAUUGUAAGAGAUUCCAGCAGAUUUCAUCAUUUUCAUCAAGGAAGUUGCUCUUGUGGGGAUUUCUGGUGAUGGUGCAUGGAGCAACGUUUUUUAUUCAGCACAUACAAGAUUGUGAUAGUAUACACCAUGUUGAUCCUUGCUCUUCUUUACGUGAAGUCGCAAUGUUUGCUAUACAGGGUCGAUCAAAGGCAAACUUCUUGUUAUCACAGUUGCGUACAUAUAAACCCCAAAUUCCACUUAUGUGCGAGUUACUUAAGGGCAUCUUCUAUAUGUGAAGUCGCAGUGUUUGCUAUAAAAGGUCGUCAAAAGCAAACUCUUUGUUAUCACAAUAAUAAGGCUCCGUACAAAGUCCACCUAAGUGGAAGCCAGGGCAUCUUCUAUACGUGAAGUCACAAUGUUGCUAUUAAGGGUCGAUUAAAAGCACAUUCUUUGUUAUCAUAAUGUUAGUGGAAGUCACUAAUGCUGUUUGCUUAAAACCAUGGGAAGUAUAUCUUGAAUAAAAGCAUGAAGCUUCUUACUUGGUCUUUCUUAGGUAAGUUAAAUUUUACUUGAUAAGUACUUGAACUUUCUGUAUUCAACGAAUUUUAGCAAUUUCCAAAUAAUGUACCAAUUACUCAAGAAUUGUUAUUUAUGGGAAAUGAUUUUUCAUCUAAUCAAAUGACCCAAUGGGUGAGGUUGUGUAACUUUCAAUCUCUAAACUCCGUUGACGAGAUCUUUAUAAUUUAUACUCUCUUUGUUACACCGUAAAUUUUAAUAUUUAUCUGUCAAUUUAUAUUUUUCUUGUGUAAAAGUAAAUUAUACACUUUUUCAGUUGAUCAACUUAAAUCAUAAAUAUUGAUCAAGAAAAGUCAAAAACACUUUUUACAUGCAUUUAUUGUGAAAUUGACACAAAAUCAUUGAGACUUAUUGUUUUGUUUAUAAAAUAUACUUGGGGUCUUUAGGGAUAUU